AGUAGCAGCUGUAAUAGUAUCUGUGGUGAUUGUAGUGUCGAUCACACUGUGUAUUGUGAAAUGUAGCAGCGGUCAGUCUCGCUCGGCCAAGAGCACUAGGAAAGGUGUUAAUCGGUCAGCUAUAUGUAACAGAAUUGAUCAACCGUUACCGUGUCAGAGCAGCAGUAUUCCUGGUACCCCAGUGAGGUACUCUUCUGAGAUGAAUAAUAGAAACAUGCCAUUUGUGGAAUGUAAGGAAGAUUUUUACCCGCAGUAUGAGUCUCAGAUUGAUUGGUCAAACACGGGUACCCUGGAGAAGAGUCCACCCACCACAAUAUUGUUACCAACUCGAGUCAAAAGAUAAUAGGUAAACCACAGCACCAAAUGACCAACUUCAUUCUCCAUUACUUAAUUCUCUUAUUUUGUCAACACUUCUUCCAUCAUUCCUGCAACACUUUUCACCAAAUUGCCUAAUUAACUUGUUUUAAUCAUUUAUUUUUUAUUUAUAUUGCUUUUUUUUUUCAAUUUUUUACCUUAAUUAUUCAUUUUUCUUCCAAUUAUUUUUUCUGUUUAUUUUUUUAAUAUUUUUUACACAAAAAGUUAUACAAGAGGAAUUUCCUUGGAUGCUCUCAGGUUAUUUGGCUUAGAAAACCAUUCCAGAAUCUCCACAGAAAUUGAAAAAAUUUGCAUAAAUGGGAUGAAAGAGAGAUUGCUUCCUGUAUUGGUGUAUGUGUGUGUGUUUGUACAUGCAUUUGUGUGUUAAUGUAUAUGAAUAUAUAUGUAUAAUAUAUAUCAUAUAUUUGUAUAAACGCAUAUAUAUAUUCAUAAACUCAUAUAUAAACUUAAAAAUCAGGCAUUAAGUGAUCAUUUAUACACACAUGUAUGAACAUGUGUGUACAUGGAUACCCAUUAAACAUAUAUAACAGGCAUAUAUACACUGCAUACCAGUAUGCUACACACACACACACACACAGACCUACAUAGUUGAAUAUAAACACACUGAAGUGUUAUAGACUACACAACAGAUCAUAUUAUAUACACCCCUCUAUUUUAUACCCUUCACAUGGUCAUCAUUCCAGAAUAAUGCAUAGGAGGAUGAGAAGGCCUUCAUGCUUCUGUUAGUUGAUCAGUAAGGAUAACAUGGAUUCUAGCCAGGAUUGUCAAUGCUUUACCUAUUCUCUUCAGUUCGUCUCAGAGUACGGGGAGUAAUAGAGAACAGGGAUCAAUAGAGUACAGGGAGUAAUAGAGAACAGGGAUCAAUAGAGUACAGGGAGUAAUAGAGAACAGGGAUCAAUAGAGUACAAGGAGUAAUAGAGAACAGGGAGUAGGCUGUAGUUUGUGUUUGGAGUUGUGUGUCCAAUGCUCUCUACUACAAUAUAUUGACAGGAGUAUCUGUAAUGCAAGAUAUAUGGAUGUGUAGAUGAGUAUAUGUAUGCAUGUGUGUGUGCAUGGAGGAUGUAUGAAUGUAUGUAUGUACGCCUGUACGUAUGUAUCAAUACACACAUGUGUGUGUCUAAAUAUGUAUGUAUGUACAUACAUAUACACAUAUAUGUAUACAUGUGUGUAUAUAUAUAUAUAUAUAUAUAUAUAUAUAUAUAUAUAUAUAUAUAUAUAUAUAUAUAUAUAUAUAUAUAUAUACGUACAUGAACUUAAUAGGGAAACAAAAUAAUAGGGAGGAUAGAUAUAGUAAAGAAACCUAGAAAGAGAAAAAUAGGAAGUGAAAUAGAUAUAGUGAGAUAAUGAGAGAGAGAGAGAGAGAGAGAGAGAGAGAGAGAGAGAGAGGGAGAGGGAAAUGAGAGAGAAAGAGAUUGUGAUAAAUCUAUGAUGAAACAAGUGCAACAUCAUCAA